rnacentral:rRNA from 1 species
AGCGAACGCUGGCGGCAGGCUUAACACAUGCAAGUCGAGCGGGCACUUCGGUGUCAGCGGCAGACGGGUGAGUAACACGUUGGAACGUACCCUUCGGUUCGGAAUAACGCUGGGAAACUAGCGCUAAUACCGGAUACGCCCUUUUGGGGAAAGGUUUACUGCCGAAGGAUCGGCCCGCGUCUGAUUAGCUAGUUGGUGGGGUAAUGGCCUACCAAGGCCACAAUCAGUAGCUGGUCUGAGAGGAUGACCAGCCACACUGGGACUGAGACACGGCCCAGACUCCUACGGGAGGCAGCAGUGGGGAAUAUUGGACAAUGGGCGCAAGCCUGAUCCAGCCAGGCCGCGUGAGUGAUGAAGGCCUUAGGGUUGUAAAGCUCUUUUGUCCGGGACGAUAAUGACGGUACCGGAAGAAUAAGCCCCGGCUAACUUCGUG